AUGAAGGGCAACGACAGUCCCCUGCAGCCGGGGACUCCCACCUUCCCAACCCCAGGACCAGGCUUAUGGGACCUUCAGACUGUGGCAGUGUGGGGGACCUUCCUCCCCACAACCCUGACUGACCUCGGGCACACGCCUGAGCCUGCCCUGAACCCAGGACCCAAGGGUCAGCCUGAGUCCCUCAGCCCUGAGGUGCCCCUGAGCUCUAGGCUGCUGUCCAUGCCAGCUUGGGACAGCCCCGCCAACAGCCACAGAGCCCCUGAGACCCAGCCACUGCCUCCCAGCCUGGCUGAAGCGGGGCCCCCCACGGACCCGUUGGUUGUCAGGAACGCCGGCUGA
rnacentral:lncRNA from 1 species